rnacentral:lncRNA from 10 species
CUACUUGGGAGGCUGAGGCAGGAGAAUCGCUUGAACACAGGAGGUGGAGGUUGCAGUGAGCCGAGUUUGAGCCACUGCACUCCAGCCUGGGCUGGGUGACAGAGCGAGACUCUGUCUCAGAAAAAAAAAAAAAAAAGAGAGAAUUUGGCACAGAUUCCCUCUUCCCUCUGCCUCCUGUCCCUUAGCUCAGCAUUGGAUGUGGUUGUUGUUCAGGUCUCAGGAAUGCACAUUUAUCUCCUGCUUGGAUGGGUCCCAAGGUCUUGAAGAAUAAGAACCAUCAUCUCUUGGUGUGAAGGGUUGAAAAGAAACUGCCCAUUGGAGGAGGGCCCCAUAACCUGAUCCCAGAUUGGUCUCUGUUGUGUCCUGUUUGCAAUAAGUCCCCCAUCCCUGUGGCACACCCCUCUGUCAUGUGCCUUUGGCUCAUUCUUCUCAUCAGAAGGUGGGGUCUCUUUCCCCACCCCUUGAAUCUGGAUCAGUCUUUUGGCUUACUUUGACCAGAAGGAUCUGGUGAAAAGUGAUGCCAGGAGUCUGGUCCAGCUUCCUGAAGGAUGAGAUGCCACUCAAAGCAGAGAAGGGCCAUCCCAGCUGAAGUCCCUAGACCAUCCGGCCGAUAACCAGCACCAACCACCAGAUGUGUGUGUGAGGCUGGCUUUAGACCCUCCAGGUAUCCCAGCCACCAGCCAACUGCAGCCACCCGAGUGAGCCCAGGAUCCCAGCCCAAAUUGGCCACCCAGAGGACCGUGAGCAAAUAGACACUAUUGUUCUAAGCCACUAAGUCUUGGGGUGGUUUGUCGCACAGCAAUUCAUAACUGAUACAGUUACCCACACCCUUUGCUGAGCCCCUGCUGGCCAGCGCCAGCAUCCUAGGAGCGGGACUAAGCCUUCAAUCUGGAAGCAACUUUCUUCCCAGGAUUUGUUUCUUCACUCAUCCCCACCAGUUUCCAGGGCUGACACGCCAGUGCCCAUUGCUCUUUAUUAGUUUAAUAUAUAUUGAAACCUCCAAAUAGAUGCUGGGGCCCAGGUGGAACAGAUGAAAUGUGACUAAGUUCUGGGAGAUGAUUGAUAAUGAGUAGGGACUGGAAAAUCAAUUGUGUUAAUUCCUGGUCUGUCACUGGGACCAAGAAUUAAUGAGAAAAUCUGUCUAACUUAAUGGUAUUUACACAUUAUACAGAGUGUGAUAAAAUUGUCUGCAGGUGCUGCCUGGCAUUUCAAUUAUACGAGGCCUGUACCGCCCAAGGGGCAGGCAGGUCUCAGCUGUCCAGGACCUGGGCUGGACAUUUACAGACUCGCUGGAGUCCCCCAAUGACCACACCAACUUCUGAGCAGGUCGCAGGUCACAGGUCCCAGGCCCCUGCAUGGACCCUGUUGGCAUGGCUGGUCCUUGCUGAGUGUGGAUCAUCCAACUGGCAGCAUCCCAGGGUUUUGCUAGAGGGCACAUUUUGGGCCUGCUUUGAGGAUAACCACUCCAGAAGCCAUGUGGGCAGUUGGACACAAGAUCAAGCCAGGAAGGGCUUGAUCUUAUGUGUUGGCAGAGUCCAUGGCUUGAGACACAGAUAGUCCUCUUUACCCCCCACCCCUUCCCCAAGAGAUGGUCAGCACCAGCUCUGCCCCAUAUCACACCCACCACUUGGAAGGCUGCCUUGAAAAGUGUCGGGGAAACUGAUGAAAGAGCCUGCUUCAGGGGCUGAGUGCGUGCUUCCCUGAAACUCUGUAGACCAGGGCUCCUCCUGCUGAUGUGGUUUGGCUGGGUCCCCACCCAAAUCUCAUCUUGAAUUGUAGUUCCCAUCAGCCCCACGGGAGGGACCUGGUGGGAGGUAAUUGAAUCAUGGGAACGGUUUCCCCCAUGCUAUUCUCGUGAUUGUGAUGUAAGUUCUCAUGAGAUCUGAUGGUUUUAUAAGGGGCUUCCCCCUUCGCUCGGCUCCCAUUUUUCUCCUUGCCACCAUGUGAAGAAAGAUGUGUUUGCUUCUCCUUCCGCCAUGAUUGUACGUUUUCUAAGGUCUCCCCAGCCCUGCCGAACUAUGAGU